GACGAAGGAUGCAAGCGUUAUCCGGAUUCAUUGGGUUUAAAGGGUGCGUAGGCGGAAUGAUAAGUCAAUAGUGAAAGCCUGCAGCUCAACUGCAGAACUGCCAUUGAUACUGUCAAUCUUGAGUACAUUUGAUGUGGGCGGAAUGUGUCAUGUAGCGGUGAAAAGCUUAGAUAUGACACAGAACACCGAUUGCGAAGGCAGCUCACAAAACUGUAACUGACGCUGAAGCACGAAAACGUGGAUAUCAAACAGG
rnacentral:rRNA from 1 species